AUUGAACGCUGGCGGCAGGCCUAACACAUGCAAGUCGAACGGUAACAGGAAACAGCUUGCUGUUUCGCUGACGAGUGGCGGACGGGUGAGUAAUGUCUGGAAACUGCCUGAUGGAGGGGGAUAACUACUGGAAACGGUAGCUAAUACCGCAUAACGUCGCAAGACCAAAGAGGGGGACCUUCGGGCCUCUUGCCAUCCGAUGUGCCCAGAUGGGAUUAGCUAGUAGGUGGGGUAACGGCUCACCUAGGCGACGAUCCCUAGCUGGUCUGAGAGGAUGACCAGCCACACUGGAACUGAGACACGGUCCAGACUCCUACGGGAGGCAGCAGUGGGGAAUAUUGCACAAUGGGCGCAAGCCUGAUGCAGCCAUGCCGCGUGUAUGAAGAAGGCCUUCGGGUUGUAAAGUACUUUCAGCGGGGAGGAAGGGAGUAAAGUUAAUACCUUUGCUCAUUGACGUUACCCGCAGAAGAAGCACCGGCUAACUCCGUG
rnacentral:rRNA from 1 species